CCUACGGGAGGCAGCAGUAAGGAAUAUUGGUCAAUGGACGCAAGUCUGAACCAGCCAUGCCGCGUGAAGGAUUAAGGCCCUCUGGGUUGUAAACUUCUUUUAUAGGGGACGAAAAAAGGGCAUUCUUGCUCACUUGACGGUACCCUAGGAAUAAGCACCGGCUAACUCCGUGCCAGCAGCCGCGGUAAUACGGAGGGUGCAAGCGUUAUCCGGAUUUACUGGGUUUAAAGGGUGCGUAGGUGGGUUGGUAAGUCAGUGGUGAAAUCUUCGAGCUUAACUCGGAAACUGCCAUUGAUACUAUCAAUCUUGAAUCAUCUAGAGGUAAGCGGAAUAUGUCAUGUAGCGGUGAAAUGCUUAGAUAUGACAUAGAACACCAAUUGCGAAGGCAGCUUACUAUGGAUGCAUUGACACUGAGGCACGAAAGCGUGGGGAUCAAACAGGAUUAGAUACCCUGGUAGUCCACGCCCUAAACCGAUGGAUACUCGACAUUUGUGAUAUACAAUAAGUGUCUGAGCGAAAGCAUUAAGUAUCCCACCUGGGAAGUACGACCGCAAGGUUGAAACCCCGAAAGAGUAGUAGACGUGNGAGAGACGACGACGACGACGACGGAGGGAGGAGG
rnacentral:rRNA from 1 species